rnacentral:rRNA from 1 species
GGACGAGCCUGAUCCAGCAAUGCCGCGUGAGUGAUGAAGGCCUUCGGGUUGUAAAGCUCUUUUGUCCGGGAAGAAAAGGUUCCUGCUGAUACCGGUGGCUCCUGACGGUUCCGUAACAAUAAGCCCCGGCUAACUACGUGCCCGCAGCCGCGGUAAUACGA